rnacentral:rRNA from 1 species
UGGGGAAUUUUGGACAAUGGGCGAAAGCCUGAUCCAGCAAUGCCGCGUGUGUGAAGAAGGCCUUCGGGUUGUAAAGCACUUUUGUCCGGAAAGAAAUCCUUGGCUCUAAUACAGUCGGGGGAUGACGGUACCGGAAGAAUAAGCACCGGCUAACUACGUGCCAGCAGCCGCGGUAAUACGUAGGGUGCAAGCGUUAAUCGGAAUUACUGGGCGUAAAGCGUGCGCAGGCGGUUUGCUAAGACCGAUGUGAAAUCCCCGGGCUCAACCUGGGAACUGCAUUGGUGACUGACAGGCUAGAGUAUGGCAGAGGGGGGUAGAAUUCCACGUGUAGCAGUGAAAUGCGUAGAGAUGUGGAGGAAUACCGAUGGCGAAGGCAGCCCCCUGGGCCAAUACUGACGCUCAUGCACGAAAAGCGUGGGGGAGCAAACAGGAUUAGAUACCCUGGUAGUCCACGCCCUAAACGAUGUCAACUAGUUGUUGGGGAUUCAUUUCCUUAGUAACGUAGCUAACGCGUGAAGUUGACCGCCUGGGGAGUACGGUCGCAAGAUUAAAACUCAAAUGAAUUGACGGGGUCAUAGCUGUUUCCU